ACGCACGCUGGCGGCGUGCUUCACUCCUGCCCGUCGCACGAUGAAGCCUAGCUUGCUAGGUGGAUUAGUGGCGAACGGGUGAGUAAUACGUGAGUAACCUACCUUUAACUCUGGGAUAAGCCUGGGAAACUGGGUCUAAUACCGGAUACGACCAAUCUCCGCAUGGGGUGUUGGUGGAAAGCGUUAUGUAGUGGUUAUAGAUGGGCUCACGGCCUAUCAGCUUGUUGGUGAGGUAACGGCUCACCAAGGCGACGACGGGUAUCCGGCCUGAGAGGGUGACCGGGCACACUGGGACUGAGACACGGCGCAGACUGCAACGGGAGGCAGCAGUGGGGAAUAUUGCACAAUGGGCGCAAGCCUGAUGCAGCGACGCCGCGUGAGGGAUGACGGCCUUCGGGUUGUAAACCUCUGUUAGCAGGGAAGAAGAGAAAUUGACGGUACCUGCAGAGAAAGCGCCGGCUAACUACGUG
rnacentral:rRNA from 1 species